GACGAACGCCGGCGGCGUGCUUAACACAUGCAAGUCGAACGGUAAGGCCCUUCGGGGUACACGAGUGGCGAACGGGUGAGUAACACGUGGGUGAUCUGCCCUGCACUUCGGGAUAAGCCUGGGAAACUGGGUCUAAUACCGGAUAGGACCACUGCCUGCAUGGGUGGUGGUGGAAAGCUUUUGCGGUGUGGGAUGGGCCCGCGGCCUAUCAGCUUGUUGGUGGGGUGAUGGCCUACCAAGGCGACGACGGGUAGCCGGCCUGAGAGGGUGACCGGCCACACUGGGACUGAGAUACGGCCCAGACUCCUACGGGAGGCAGCAGUGGGGAAGAUUGCACAAUGGGCGCAAGCCUGAUGCAGCGACGCCGCGUGAGGGAUGACGGCCUUCGGGUUGUAAACCUCUUUCAGCACCGACGAAGCGCAAGUGACGGUAGGUGCAGAAGAAGGACCGGCCAACUACGUGCCAGCCGCCGCAGUAA
rnacentral:rRNA from 1 species